rnacentral:rRNA from 1 species
UACGAAGGGGGCUAGCGUUGUUCGGAAUUACUGGGCGUAAAGGGCGCGUAGGCGGUGUGUCAAGUCAGGCGUGAAAGCCCCGGGCUCAACCUGGGAACCGCGCUUGAGACUGGCACGCUCGAGUUCGGGAGAGGAUGGUGGAAUUCCCAGUGUAGAGGUGAAAUUCGUAGAGAUGUGGAGGAACACCGAUGGCGAAGGCAGCCCCCUGGGUCGACACUGACGCUCAUGCACGAAAGCGUGGGGAGCAAACAGG